rnacentral:ncRNA from 2 species
CGACGUUCUCAGGGCGGGGUGGAAUUCCCCACCGGCGGUGAUGACGCCCAGGCGUCCAGCCCGCGAGCGCUUGCCACGGGGCAACCCCCGCGCAAGGUCAGCAGAUCCGGUGCGAUUCCGGAGCCGACGGUCAGAGUCCGGAUGAGAGAGAGCGGGA